UACAGAGGUCCCGAGCGUUGUUCGGAUUCAUUGGGCGUAAAGGGUGCGUAGGUGGCUUCUUAAGCGUGCAGUGAAAGCCUGGGGCUCAACCCCGGGUCGGCCGUGCGAACUGGGGGGCUGGAGCACUGUAGAGGCAGGCGGAAUUCCGGGUGUAGCGGUGGAAUGCGUAGAGAUCCGGAAGAACACCGGUGGCGAAGGCGGCCUGCUGGGCAGUUGCUGACACUGAGGCGCGACAGCGUGGGGAGCAAACAGG
rnacentral:rRNA from 1 species